AUCAGCUAGUUGGUGAGGUAAUGGCUCACCAAGGCGAAGACGGGUAGCUGGUCUGAGAGGAUGAUCAGCCACACUGGAACUGAGACACGGUCCAGACUCCGUACGGGAGGCAGCAGGUGGGGAAUAUUGCGACAAGUGGGCGAAAGCCUGACGCAGCCACGCCGCGUGAGCGAUGAAGGUCUUCGGAUCGUAAAGCUCUGGUGGGGGGAGAAGAAGAAAGUCGGUGAAGAGCCGGCCCUGACGGUAUCCCCUUAGCAAGCACCGGCUAACUCCGUGCCAGCAGCCGCGGUAAUACGGAGGGUGCAAACGUUGCUCGGAAUCAUUGGGCGUAAAGCGCGCGUAGGCGGCUGAACAAGUUGGAUGUGAAAGCCCUGGGCUCAACCUAGGAUGUGCAUUCAAAACUGUUCGGCUUGAGUCUCGGAGGGGGUCAGAGAAUUCUCGGUGUAGAGGUGAAAUUCGUAGAUAUCGGGG
rnacentral:rRNA from 1 species